AACAAGGCGUACCUGCGGACCUGCGGAAGGAUCAUUACCGAGUUUACAACUCCCAAACCCCUGUGAACAUACCACUUGUUGCCUCGGCGGAUCAGCCCGCUCCCGGUAAAACGGGACGGCCCGCCAGAGGACCCCUAAACUCUGUUUCUAUAUGUAACUUCUGAGUAAAACCAUAAAUAAAUCAAAACUUUCAGCAACGGAUCU
rnacentral:misc_RNA from 1 species